GGACUUAAAUUGAGGUGAGCUGUGGGCAGGUCUUAUCUAAACCCCGCCCCUCACUCCUGCUGCUGAGGUGGCUGUGGAGAGUUCUGGGAAAAACAACAAAGGCAAUAGAGGAAAAAGAGAGGGGGGAGGGCGG
ensembl:lncRNA